GCACUCGCUUUGGCAGCACAUAUACUGAAAUUAGAAUGAUACAGAGUAGAUUAGCAUGGCCCUUGUGCAAGGAUGACAUGCAAAUUCAUUAUGCAUUCCAUAUUUUU
ensembl:snRNA U6 U6 spliceosomal RNA